rnacentral:rRNA from 1 species
AAAAAAAAAUGAGUUUGAUUCUGGCUCCGAAUGAACGCUAGGGGUAGGCUUAACACAUGCAAGUCGAACGUGAUCGAAAGAGAAAGUGGCGAAGAGGUGAGUAAAACACAUGAAUUUUAAUAAUAAACCUGAAAAGAAAAAAAGAAGAAAAUACGGGAUAGAAAGAAAGAGGAACUUGAAAAAAAGGAAGACUCGUUAUUAUAAAAGCGUGUGCUGGAUUAGGUAGUUGGUGGGGUAAAAGCCUACCAAGCCAGAGAUCCAUAGGUGGCUCGAGAGGGUGAACAUCCACAUUGGUAUUGAAAAAAAGACCAAACUCGAAAGAGGCAGCAGUGAGGAAUA